rnacentral:rRNA from 1 species
UACGGAGGGUGCGAGCGUUGUCCGGAAUCACUGGGCGUAAAGGGCGCGUAGGUGGCGCGGGAAGUCAACGGUGAAAGUUCGGGGCUCAACCCUGAAUCGGCCGUCGAUACUCCCGGGCUCGAGCACUGUAGAGGCAGAUGGAAUUCCGGGUGUAGCGGUGGAAUGCGUAGAGAUCCGGAAGAACACCGGUGGCGAAGGCGGUCUGCUGGGCAGUGCUGACACUGAUGCGCGACAGCGUGGGGAGCA